rnacentral:rRNA from 1 species
UACCCGCUGAAACUUAAGCAUAUCAAUAAGCGGAGGAAAAGAAACCAACAGGGAUUGCCUCAGUAACGGCGAGUGAAGCGGCAACAGCUCAAAUUUGAAAGCUGGCUCCUUUGGGGCCCGCGUUGUAAUUUGUAGAGGAUGUUUCGGGUGUGGCGCCGGUCUAAGUUCUUUGGAACAAGACGUCAUGGAGGGUGAGAAUCCCGUAUGUGACUGGUUGCCUAUGUCCAUGUGAAGCUCCUUCGACGAGUCGAGUAGUUUGGGAAUGCUGCUCAAAAUGGGAGGUGUAUUUCUUCUAAAGCUAAAUAUUGGCCAGAGACCGAUAGCGCACAAGUAGAGUGAUCGAAAGAUGAAAAGCACUUUGGAAAGAGAGUUAAACAGUACGUGAAAUUGUUGAAAGGGAAGCGCUUGCAAUCAGACUUGCGCGGCGCCGAUCAGCCUGGGUUCUCCCUGGUGUACUCGGCGCCGCUCAGGCCAGCAUCGGUUUCGGCGGUGGGAUAAAGGCCCAGGGAACGUGAGCCGCCUCGGCGACUGUUAUAGCCCUGGGUGCAAUGCCGCCUGCUGGGACCGAGGACCGCGCUUCGGCUAGGAUGCUGGCGUAAUGGUUGCAAGCGACCCGUCUUGAAACACGGACCAAGGAGUCUAACAUCUAUGCGAGUGUUUGGGUGUCAAACCCAUACGCGGAAUGAAAGUGAACGGAGGUGAGAACCCUCAAGGGUGCAUCAUCGACCGAUCCUGAUGUCUUCGGAUGGAUUUGAGUAAGAGCAUAGCUGUUGGGACCCGAAAGAUGGUGAACUAUGCCUGAAUAGGGUGAAGCCAGGGGAAACCCUGGUGGAGGCUCGCAGCGGUUCUGACGUGCAAAUCGAUCGUCAAAUUUGGGUAUAGGGGCGAAAGACUAAUCGAACCAUCUAGUAGCUGGUUCACGCCGAAGUUUCCCUCGGGAA